rnacentral:rRNA from 1 species
UACGUAGGGUGCAAGCGUUGUCCGGAAUUAUUGGGCGUAAAGAGCUCGUAGGCGGUCUGUUGCGUCGGCUGUGAAAACCCGGGGCUCAACUCCGGGCCUGCAGCCGAUACGGGCAGACUAGAGUUCGGCAGGGGAGACUGGAAUUCCUGGUGUAGCGGUGAAAUGCGCAGAUAUCAGGAGGAACACCGGUGGCGAAGGCGGAUCUCUGGGCCGUAACUGACGCUGAGGAGCGAAAGCAUGGGUAGCGAACAGG